rnacentral:tRNA from 2 species
UUACUGGUAGGUUAUUUAAACUGGCAAAUUGUGGUUUUGUUGAUUACAGGUU